AAUUUUGGACAAUGGGGGAAACCCUGAUCCAGCCAUCCCGCGUGUAUGAUGAAGGCCNNNGGGUUNUCAAGUACUUUUUGUAGNGAGNAAAAGUUAUCUCCUAAUACGAGAUACUGCUGACGGUAUCUGCAGAAUAAGCACCGGCCAGCUACGUUCCAGCAGCCGCGGUAAUACGUAGGGUCCAACCGUUAAUCGGAAUUACUGGGAGUAAAGAGUGUGUAGGCGGUUCGGAAAGAAAGAUGUGAAAACCCAGGGCUCAACCUUGGAACUGCAUUUUUAACUGCCGAGCUAGAGUAUGUCAGAGGGGGGUAGAAUUCCACGUGUAGCAGUGAAAUGCGUAGAUAUGUGGAGGAAUACCGAUGGCGAAGGCAGCCCCCUGGGAUAAUACUGACGCUCAGACACGAAAGCGUGGGGAGCAAACAG
rnacentral:rRNA from 1 species